rnacentral:piRNA from 1 species
UUGGGAUCAUGGCGGAGAAUCAC